UAGGGAAUAUUGCAAAAUGGGCGAAAGCCCGAUGCAGCAACGCCGCGUGGGCGAUGAAGGCCUUCGGGUCGUAAAGCCCUUUUUGAGGGGAUGAGGAAGGACAGUACCCUCAGAAUAAGCCUCGGCUAACUACGUGCCAGCAGCCGCGGUAAAACGUAGGAGGCGAGCGUUAUCCGGAUUUACUGGGUUUAAAGGGUGCGUAGGUGGGCUUAUAAGUCAGUGGUGAAAUCUCCGAGCUUAACUUGGAAACUGCCGUUGAUACUAUAGGUCUUGAAUUAUCUGGAGGUAAGCGGAAUAUGUCAUGUAGCGGUGAAAUGCUUAGAUAUGACAUAGAACACCAAUUGCGAAGGCAGCUUACUACAUAUAAAUUGACGCUGAGGCACGAAAGCGUGGGGAUCAAACA
rnacentral:rRNA from 1 species